GGCAGUGAUGCCUAGUGGCUAGAGCACUGGACUGAGAUUCAGGAGACCUGGGUUCCAUUCCCAGCUCUGCCA
rnacentral:tRNA from 1 species